GAUGAACGCUGGCGGCGUGCCUAAUACAUGCAAGUCGAGCGAACAGACGAGGAGCUUGCUCCUCUGACGUUAGCGGCGGACGGGUGAGUAACACGUGGAUAACCUACCUAUAAGACUGGGAUAACUUCGGGAAACCGGAGCUAAUACCGGAUAAUAUAUUGAACCGCAUGGUUCAAUAGUGAAAGACGGUUUUGCUGUCACUUAUAGAUGGAUCCGCGCCGCAUUAGCUAGUUGGUAAGGUAACGGCUUACCAAGGCAACGAUGCGUAGCCGACCUGAGAGGGUGAUCGGCCACACUGCAACUGAGACACGGCCCAGACUCCUACGGGAGGCAGCAGUAGGGAAUCUUCCGCAAUGGGCGGAAGCCUGCCGGAGCAACGCCGCGUGAGUGAUGAAGGUCUUCGGAUCGUAAAACUCUGUUAUUAGGGAAGAACAAAUGUGUAAGUAACUAUGCACGUCUUGACGGUACCUAAUCAGAAAGCCACGGCUAACUACGUG
rnacentral:rRNA from 1 species